CAUCACUACGCUAGAUGCAUAUCAAUAAGCGGAGGAAAAGAAACUAACUAGGAUUCCCUCAGUAACGGCGAGUGAAGCGGGAAGAGCUCAAAUUUGAAAUCUUCAAGGUUCUACCUUGACGAAUUGUAGUUUAAAGAAGUGUUUUCUGUUGAAGUUUCGGUAAAAGUUCUUUGGAAUAGGACAUCAUAGAGGGUGAGAAUCCCGUAUUUGACCAUUAUUUCCAGCUGUGUGAUACACUUUCAAAGAGUCGGAUUGUUUGGGAAUGCAGUCCAAAAUGGGUGGUAAAUUUCAUCUAAAGCUAAAUACUGGCGAGAGACCGAUAGCGAACAAGUACCGUGAGGGAAAGAUGAAAAGAACUUUGAAAAGAGAGUUAAACAGUACGUGAAAUUGUCAAAAGGGAAGCGUUUGACACCAGUGUUGUUUUCUCGAAAAUCGAUUAAAAAGGAUGGAUUUUGUGUUGUAUUGACCUUAUCAAGCUUUCUUCACUCUUUUCUUAGUCUUUUUUAAUGCACUUUUCGUUUAACAAGUCAACAUCAAUUUCUUUUGUUGUAAAAGAGUCAUUGGAAGGUGGCUUUUUCUUCGGAAAAAGUGUUUAUAGCCUUUGGCUUCUGCAAUCGGAGAGAUUGAGGUCUGCAGCGUAGAUCCUUCGGGGUUAGAUACAUUGGUGCUAAGCUAUAGCCUUGUAUAGACAACUUGUUGACUAUGCUCAGUCAUGUAGCUUACUCGCUUAUGCUAUUUUACCUACGCUUAGGAUGUUGAUAUGCAUGACUGAUAU
rnacentral:rRNA from 1 species